UUAAAUGAGCAGAGUGAUUUUUGUUGUUCUUUGGGAUUUUUCGGUUUCUGCAGGGUAUUGGAGAGGGAAGUUGAGGUGAUGUAAAGUGGGGUGUAUGGAGUGUUGCAGGAAGUUGCCGAUUGAAGGAAUUUUAGCAGAGGUUUCAAAGGCUUCUCUGAUUUUUGAUUGAGAUGUUUGGUGUAUUGAACAACAAUUGGAGGGGCAGAUUAUGCAGGGUGUUUUGGACAGCAUCCGGACUGUUUUUUGACAGUUUAUGUACAAAAAUAUGGAUGUUUGUUUUUUUGUUGUUUUAUGAUAGGUUUUGGACAGCAAAAAAAGUAUAGCAGGUUUAGGGAUAGGGACUGGGACUGGUUUUUUGCUUGU